UUCAGGACACAUAGAGAAUCACAUUGUCAUUCUUAGACGGUUUUCAGAGCCUUCGCUGACUACUGAGGUCUUAUUGUUCUUCAGUGUCUGUGUUUGUUGAUACCGGGAGCUGUCCUCUUACGUAUAGGAGACACAAUUAUUGACUCGCUACCGCUAUGUGGACCAAAUAGCAGAAUUCGAGAAGGAAAUUGUGUGGAAUUCUGUGGAUGCCCAUUUAAGUUCUGCUUUGGAUCUGAACCAGUUUCUGGCUGCUUUUGUGAUGAAGGAUAUGUUCUAAGCCCUUCUCAACUGAAUAUUCAAACCCUUAUCUUCAGCCGCUCAUCUUUCUUCCCUAAUUGUGUUCUACGUGAUGACUGCCCAAAUGCUGUUGGGGGGAAUAUGUUCACUGGAUGCAAAAUAUUUUGUGAUAUAGUCUCAAAUCCUGUAUUAGAUGCAUAAUAUAUCAUUGUCAAUACAGGCGAUAUAUGUCGCUUUUAAGAAAAUAAAAAAUGAAGCAUGUAAGAAA